rnacentral:misc_RNA from 1 species
GAUGAAGAACGUAGCGAAAUGCGAUAAGUAAUGUGAAUUGCAGAAUUCAGUGAAUCAUCGAGUCUUUGAACGCACAUUGCGCCCCCUGGUAUUCCGGGGGGCAUGCCUGUCCGAGCGUCAUUGCCGCCCUCAAGCACGGCUUGUGUGUUGGGCCCCCGCCCCCCGGCUUCGGGGGGCGGGCCCGAAAGGCAGCGGCGGCACCGCGUCCGGGCCUCGAGCGUAUGGGGCUUCGUCACCCGCUCUGUAGGCCCGGCCGGCGCCCGCCGGCGACCCCAAUCAAUCUUUCCAGGUUGACCUCGGAUCAGGUAGGGAUACCCGCUGAACUUAAGCAUAUCAAUAAGCGGAGGA